rnacentral:rRNA from 1 species
CCUACGGGUGGCAGCAGUGGGGAAUAUUGGGCAAUGGGCUCACGCCUGAACCAGCGAAGUCGCGUGAGGGAAGACGGCCUUCUGGUUGUUAACCUCUUUCUGCCAGGGAGCCACACGGACGGUGCCUGCCGAGGAAGCCACGGCUAACUAAGUGACCGCAGCCGGGGUACUACGGAGGUGGCAAGCGUUAUCCGGAAUUACUGGGUGUAACGGGUGUGUAGGGGGGUUUGCAAGUCAGAUGUGAAAAUUAUGGGCACAACCCAUAACCUGCGGCUGAAACUCCAGAUCUUGAGAGGGGGAGAGGUAAACGGAAUGCCCGGUGUAGCGGUGAAAUGCGUAGAUAUCGGGAGGAACACC